rnacentral:ncRNA from 1 species
GUACUGUAUGAAAGGACAGAAGGUCAGCACACCCCUUGACAAGGAUGGAAGAGGCCCAUUGCCAACUGCUUUGUGGCAUGUAACCACUGUCCUAU